rnacentral:rRNA from 1 species
UACGGAGGGUGCAAGCGUUAUCCGGAUUUACUGGGUUUAAAGGGUGCGUAGGCGGGCUGUUAAGUCAGUGGUGAAAGAUUCGAGCUUAACUCGGAAACUGCCAUUGAUACUGAUGACCUUGAAUACAGUUGAGGUAGGCGGAAUAUUACAUGUAGCGGUGAAAUGCUUAGAUAUGUAAUAGAACACCGAUUGCGAAGGCAGCUUGCUAAACUGUGAUUGACGCUGAGGCACGAAAGCGUGGGGAGCAAACAGG